AGCCCAUGAUUAGGACAUCUCCUGAAUAAGGCUAUGUAUCUCUCCAAAGCAUCAUACAAGCUCUUGCCUUCACGCUGAACGAAAUUGAAGAUUUCAUCUCGAAUUGCGGAC
rnacentral:snoRNA from 1 species